rnacentral:rRNA from 1 species
UGAACCAGCCAAGUAGCGUGCAGGAUGACGGCCCUAUGGGUUGUAAACUGCUUUUAUAAGGGAAUAAAGUGAGUCUCGUGAGACUUUUUGCAUGUACCUUAUGAAUAAGGACCGGCUAAUUCCGUGCCAGCAGCCGCGGUAAUACGGAAGGUCCGGGCGUUAUCCGGAUUUAUUGGGUUUAAAGGGAGCGUAGGCCGGAGAUUAAGCGUGUUGUGAAAUGUAGACGCUCAACGUCUGCACUGCAGCGCGAACUGGUUUCCUUGAGUACGCACAAAGUGGGCGGAAUUCGUGGUGUAGCGGUGAAAUGCUUAGAUAUCACGAAGAACUCCGAUUGCGAAGGCAGCUCACUGGAGCGCAACUGACGCUGAAGCUCGAAAGUGCGGGUAUCGAACAGGAUUAGAUACCCUGGUAGUCCGCACGGUAAACGAUGGAUGCCCGCUGUUGGUCUGAAUAGGUCAGCGGCCAAGCGAAAGCAUUAAGCAUCCCACCUGGGGAGUACGCCGGCAACGGUGCAACUCAAAGGAAUUGAGGGA